rnacentral:rRNA from 1 species
CUUGUCCUUAGUUACCAGCACCUCGGGUGGGCACUCUAAGGAGACUGCCGGUGACAAACCGGAGGAAGGUGGGGAUGACGUCAAGUCAUCAUGGCCCUUACGGCCAGGGCUACACGCGUGCUACAAUGGUCGGUACAAAGGGUUGCCAAACCGCGAGGUGGAGCUAAUCCCAUAAAACCGAUCGUAGUCCGGAUCGCAGUCUGCAACUCGACUGCGUGAAGUCGGAAUCGCUAGUAAUCGUGAAUCAGAAUGUCACGGUGAAUACGUUCCCGGGCCUUGUACACACCGCCCGUCACACCAUGGGAGUGGGUUGCUCCAGAAGUAGCUAG